UUUUUAUAUAUUAAGAGACAGGGCUCGUUGGUGACAGCGGAGGAUCAUUACAGGGUCUGACGACUGCCCCAACCAAACCGUGAACUCUUUUUACAUUCAAAAUGCUUUGGCAGGCCGCUCGCUGGGGGAGCUCUGGACCGCCGCGAGGCGGUUGGCCUGCCGAAAGCAUGUAAAUUCAAAACUACUUGAAUAACUUUUCUGAGAAAUUCAUCUCCUCCGGGAGUAUAAAAAAAAUCACAACUCAUAACAAUGGAUCUCUUGGCUCUGGCAUCGAUGAAGAACGCAGCGAAAUGCGAUAACUAAUAUGAAUUGCAGAAUUCAGCGAAUCAUCGAGUUUUUGAACGCACAUUGCGCCCUUUGGUAUUCCGAAGGGCAUGUCCGACCGAGCGUCGCUUCACCGCUCAAGUCCGUCGACUUGGUGUUGGGGUCUUGCCCGAGCUCUCUCAGUCUCGGGCAGCUCUUAAAUGCAGUGGCGGCCCUCAGCGCGGCUCCUCCUUAGCGCAGUAGAGUAAUUGCACUACGCUUCGGGACGCCUGGGUGCCUGCCGUAAAACCGCAGACUUUUCCCGAGUCGCACCUUCUUUAGGUUGGCCUCGGGUCGGACAAGAUUACCCGCUGAACUUAAGCAUAUCAAUAAGCGGAGGAAAAGAAACCAACAGGGAUUGCCUCAGUAACGGCGAGUGAAGCGGCAACAGCCCAGAUUUGAAAUCUGGCCUUUCGGCCCGAGUUGUAAUCUGUAGAUGAGUCUUUGGGUUACGUGCCGUCCAAGUCCUCUGGAAUGGGGCGCCAUAGAGGGUGAGAGCCCCGUACUGACGUGCGCCGCGCCUGUUUAAAGCUCAUUCGAAGAGUCGAGUAGUUUGGAAAUGCUGCUCUAAUUGUGGGGUAAAUCUCCCAUAAGGCUAAAUACGGGCCAGAGACCGAUAGCGCACAAGUAGCGUGAGCGAAAGAUGAAAAGAGCCUUGAAUAAGGGCGUCAAAAAGUAUGUGAAAUUGUUAUGGGGGAAGCGCUUAGUGCCAGACGUGGCGGCGGUUGGUUACUCGGCGUUCUUCGCCGACGCACUCUUCCGUCGCCAGGCCAGCAUCGGUUCGGCUCGGGGCUCAAUGCUGCUCGGAAUCGUGGCUAUUCGGAGUGUUAUAGCCUUGCAGCGACCGUCCCGAAGCCGGACCGAGGUUCGCGCUCUGUUCGAUGCGGCGAGGCCUUACCCUUAAAAACAAAA
rnacentral:rRNA from 1 species